CUCCCGCAGCUCCACAAGCACAACAGGAAAUGGAGGAGGCUGUGGGCUGUGGGAAGGGAAGCCGGGGAGCCGGGGCUGUGGAAUGUGGGAGGUGGGCCUGGACACCUUUACUCAGCCCAGAGCAUACAGGGAGGCCCAGGGGACAGCGGCUAGGGGCUGGGCCCAGGAGAGGUCCCAUCGAGCAGCCAGGCCUCACAGGUCCUUGGAGACCAGUGAAGCCAGGCUCCCCCCACCCCCACCCCCAGGGUGCAGAUGGGGAAACUGAGGCUCUGAGAAGGUGAGAAGUUUACCCAAGAUUCCACAGCAGAGCCUGUCUGAGAGGGAGACAGAGAGAAAGAGACCUGGAAUGAUAGAAGUAGAAAGAGACAAAGACACAGAGACAGAGAGGAGGUGCCCAGAGAGACAGCACCAGAGGCACUAAGAGACAGAAGCAAGGACAAAGACAGAGACAGAAGCAAGGACAAAGACAGAGACAGAAGCAAGGACAAAGACAGAGACAGAAGCAAGGACAAAGACAGAGACAGACUGAAUGGGGUGGCCCUUGCUCUCCUCUAUCUUGGAAGACACACCUCAGGUCCCAAGAGACCACCAGGAGCCAAGUAUGCCAAGAGUCUGCCUGCAGCAUUGGCAGGAAGGACGCCAGAGGACAGGGGUCGCAGAGCAUGAGCUUUGGGAGGUGACGGCAUGAUGAGGCAACAAGGAGCCUCCUCUGGCUGUGGGGCUGCCCAGCCUGGCCUGCCUCUGAAGGCCAUGCCCAGCUUGCCCCUACCUCCCCAUCUCACCCCUUUUAGUUUUCAGUUUAGGUCUGCAGACCGGGUUCAGGCCCCAGCAUGCCACCUCUUGUGCCAUCGCUCUCCCUGUGGCCUAAGUCCCCAGCUCUGGAAGUGGAUGAUGGUACCUACAAAGUCCCCUGAACAAAGCAGCAGAAAUCGACUAAGAUGGGGCCUGGCGUGUGCUCCCGCUGCUCUGGAAGUCCAAACUGGAUGGAAGAAUAGCGCUGGUUCCCUGGAAGGCUGCUAAGCCCCCUGCACCCCCUCCUCCAGCACAGGCUCGGCUGCCUCUGGCUAUCCCACCGCCAAUCUCCUCACCUCCAAUCUGUCCCCUCCACCUGUUCUCACACCCCAGCCAGAGGGACCUUUCUGAAAUACCUAUGUGACCUCUCCGGCCCUCCUCUGCUCUCCAUCCCCCUCAGGCAAAGGCUGGCUUCUCUGCCCAGCCUUUCAGAAUCUUCCGGCCCGGCCCUGACAGCUCCCUCACAACUGAGGGAGGAAGGCGGCUGCCCCUCCAGCUCCCCAGGGCCCAAGCCAGGCCCUCACACUCGUCACUCACUGCAUGCUCCUCUCCCCAUGAGGCCUCCCCAGGGAACACAAUGGAAAGAAAUGACCUAUUUUCUGGAAGUCCAAAAUAAGAUGAAACAUCUGUCUGGAAUGGGGCCAGGCUGAUAAAGAACGGGCUGAUCUCCCCAGCCCGAGCCCCGCUCUCCUGCAGCAAACACCCCCUCACCCGUCAGAGUGCCUGUGCUUGGGGGUGGGGGCAGCGAUGCGGCUGGCUACUUGGAACAGUGCGUGGGAAAGCGCUCAGUGUGUGCCUCACGGCUGCUGGGGGCCCAAGGGAGGGGGCCUGGGUCCCCAGGAAGGCUGGGAAGCAGCCUGAGAAGGAGGUCAGUGAGGGAGGGAGGCCUGCUGCACACCCCUGCCCACCGGCUGCAGAGCAAGCACUUCCUGCCUCCUGCGGUGCCUUGAGGGUUACCCCCAGGGCCCUGUGGAUUCCUGGCCCUGAGUCCCCCCACCCACCCCGGCCCCAUCUGGGCCUCCAACAGCCUUAAAAAUAACAAUAAUAAUAAUAGCUACCUCUGAUUUAGUACAGUUGACCCUUGAACUACACAGGUUUGAACUGUGCAGGUCCACUAACACGUGAAUGUUCCACACAUGUGAAACAUCCACCUCCUUCCCACCCUUCCACUCCUCCACCUCUUCCGCCUCUGCCACCCCUGAAAGCAAGGCCAACCCUUCCUCUUCCUCCUCCUUCCCAGUCUACUUAACGUGCAGACAAGGGUGAAGACUUUUUCAGUGAUCUACUUCCACUUAAUAUAAACUGAAUGUAUUUUCUCUUCCUUGUGAUUUUCUUUCAUCUAGCUUACUUUAUUGUAAGAACAUAGUAUAUAAUAUACAUAACAGACAAAAUAUGUGUUAAUUGACUUUACAUUAUCAGUAAGGCCCACAGUAGGCUGGCUAUUAGCAGUUAAGUUUUUGGGGAGUCAAAAGCUAUACAUGAAUUUUCAACUUUGCAGUUGGUGGCUGUCCCCAGCCCCCUCAUUGUUCAAGGGUCUGCUGUACUUAUCACCCACUAUCUAUGCUAAGCUCCUUAUAUGAAUGAUCUCACCAAGUCCUCAGAACAAUCCCAUGACAUCAGUACUGCUUCCUCAUUUUACAGAUGUGGAAACUGAGGCACAGACUGUUUACAUUGUUUGCCCAAAAGCUUGCCAGUGGUGUCUCCAGUGUUUAAUACUGGGCAGACAGGCUCCAGAGCACACAGCCCAAUGCCCAUGAGACAGCCCCUCUGUGGCAGGAGGCAAAGAUAAGGAGCCCCGCAAAAAGGACAGCCCAGUACCUGGCACAGAACAAGCUCAAAUAAAAAAAAAUAAAAGUUAAUUAGCCAGGCGUGGUGGAGGGAGCCUGUAAUCCCAGCUUCUCGGGAGGCUGAGUCAGGAGAAUUGCUUGAACCCGAGAUCGCGCCACUGCACUCCAGCCUGGGCAACAAGAGUGAAACUCCGUCUCAAAAAAAUAAAUUAAAAAAUAAAGUCGUC
rnacentral:lncRNA from 10 species